CAAAUACUCCCUCCGUCCAGAAAUACUUGUCAUCAAAAUGGAUAAAAGGAAAUGUAUCUAGACGUAUUUUAGUUUUAGAUACAUCUCUUUUAUCCAUUUUGAUGACAAGUAUUUUCGGACGGAGGGAGUAGAAA
rnacentral:pre_miRNA from 1 species